CGCAAUGGCCGCAAGGCUGACGCAGCGACGCCGCGUGUGGGAUGACGGCCUUCGGGUUGUAAACCACUGUCGGGAGGGUCGAAUACUUGGCUUGCCAAGGGUGACGGUACCUCCAAAGGAAGCACCGGCUAACUCCGUGCCAGCAGCCGCGGUAAUACGGAGGGUGCGAGCGUUGUCCGGAAUCACUGGGCGUAAAGGGCGCGUAGGUGGCUCGUUAAGUGGCUGGUGAAAUCCCGGGGCUCAACUCCGGGGCUGCCGGUCAGACUGGCGGGCUCGAGCACGGUAGAGGCGGAUGGAAUUCCCGGUGUAGCGGUGGAAUGCGUAGAUAUCGGGAAGAAUACCGGUGGCGAAGGCGUUCCGCUGGGCCGUUGCUGACACUGAGGCGCGACAGCGUGGGGAGCAAACAGGAUUAGAUACCCUGGUAGUCCACGCCGUAAACGAUGGGCACUAGGCGGUCGGGGGAGCGACCCUCCCGGUGCCGUCGCUAACGCAGUAAGUCGCCCCGGCCCGGGGAGUACGGCCGCAAGGCUAG
rnacentral:rRNA from 1 species